CCAUCUACCCUUCCACCCAUUCAGUAGUGGAAAACUAUAAUAAUGAUACAUGAUACUCCCUCUCUGUGGCUUUUGAGCAUUGCCAUUUAACAACAAUCCUAAGACCAAAGAUGACUGAGCAGUCAUUUCUCGUAUUUCCCCUGCAUUCAUGGCUAUUCUCUUUGUUAACUGCAAGUAAUAGGGAGCUAUUCCUUGUUUUGUUUGCUGAGUGUGUAUGUCCCAAACUCCAUUAAUUCUCAACGAGCCCUAGGAUGCAGGCAUUACGGGUGGGACUGUCUCCCUGUUCUGAUGAGGAAAACAUAAAGAUUAGACAAUCUGCCAUAAUGAAAUAUGGGAUGAUGAGAUGUGCUACUAGAUUGGCAGCUGCUUUAAGUCUAUCCAAAUAUUACGUAUAUAUGUACACGUCUGUGUGUAUAUAUAUUAGAUUCCUGAAGGCUCCUUGAAAGCGUAACUAGUCACAAUGAUUUGUGCACACUGGAGGGGUUCUCCCACAUGGAAGGAGUCGUGUUGCUGUAAAUAGUUUUUUUAAUCCUGUGCUCUGUAUCCCCGUCACUUAGAAAAGGCUUUGUGGAAGACUGUAGGUUUCUGACUUUGGUAGUACGACGGCCUCCUGCUUGCCCUGUGUCUCCAUCUCCGUGUUCUUCACUCCGUUUGGGCAGACAUCCCUGCUGGGUCCCCCUGAAGUUUCUGCCUGUUUGCAUCUGGCCCAUCUCGGUGUUCACCAGAGCACAGAUCUCCUGGGGAAGCUUUCACCAACCCGGGAUCAGCAUCCUGGCCCUGCUCUGACAAAUUCCCACAAACACGGGCAUAAAGCAAGGCGAGGCCCGCUGGGCAUACCUCCACCAUGGGCCUUGUCACUGCAUACUGUAUUUGCUGGCUGGUCUUUCUGGUUGUCUUCAUGGGAACUCGUAGAAGAUAAGGAUGGAAUGGCAUUUUGGGGUUUGAUCGCCAAGACUCCACCAUCUUGCUUGUGUGCCAUGCUGUGGUUGUUGCUGCCAAGCCACAGACUCCCAUUGUGGAUUCUCCACCAUGAGGUUUGAAUGAAAGGGCAAAUCCUUAUGUCCAGUCACAUUGCACUUCUUAAAUGGGACCCGCUGCUCUGUCAACAAUGUAUAGAGUCCCAUACCAUCUGAGAAAAAGAUAGCUGCUAGCUCAUGUACUUCAAUGUGCACGGCCUCAAGUCUUCAUCCAUAAGGUGCUGAUAGAAACUAAAAGUGGAGACUUCGCAUCAAUAUUGCAAACCCAGACGCCCUACGCGGAGAAUCACCUUCCUUAAUGAUACUCAGGCUGGAUCCCACAAAUCAAGACCCUGACCUGAUGCUGUGUGGUGGGACUUGGCCAUGAGGGGUUUUCUAAAUCUCUCCAUGAUUGAGUGAUGUGCAAUCAAAUAUGAAGCCUACUGCCGUGCAGCAGUGUGACCACCCUCUCUUCCCUGGCACCCUCUCAUAGCAGUAGGAUGACGGACUGCUAACCAACCCUUUGUUUCAUUCAAUAAAGCAAACUCCAAUCCAAGAGAGUGGGUACUAUCAUUAUACAGGAUCGAGAGUCAGAUUUGACCGAUGUCAAAAAAGCCAGUGCCAAACCUUAGCAACCGAACCAUGAUCAGUUCUUUCAAGCCUGGUUUUGAAGACUCAUCAUUAGCAAUUUCUUAUUAUGUUGAUCAUGGCCUAGUCAAAAAGCCCUUUGGGUUUGGUUGUUAACAUGGUAUUUAAUUAACAUGAUUGCACAGGCAUUGGAUGCAUUUCUCGCUCUUGUUUAUAAGAAGGCCACUGGAGACCACACCAAAUGUAGGUAAGACACUGAGGACAUCGUCACAAGAGUGAGACAUACUGCCUGGUUUUCUUCCAAAGUCUUUACUUCCCUCUGAUUUCACGGUGUGUGAAACCACAGAAUUUUCUCUUGAUGAAAUCAUGAGCAUCAAUUAGGGAGUAACCUGCUUGGUUUCUAGAUUUUGUUUCAGGGAUCCAAAAUAUUGAUGGAGGAUGGUCAAUGAGAAAGAGCUUUUUGGCCGUCGUGUCUGGCACGGGAAAUGUGCAAUAGGUGUUGUACGGUGACAAUACUAUAUUGCCUUUACAUUUAUUUGGGGUGGGUAAGAACAAUAUUCAAGGUGGUUGUGUCUUUUUUUGUUUGGUUGGUUUUUAUUUAUUUUUUAAAGAAAAGAAGACGUUCUAGAUGCGUAGAAUUGAAGCUUAAGGAAUUUUGAGCCUUGCAUGUUCCAAGGUCAAAUUUUAACAAAUUUUAAUUUUUGCUAGGACAAAAAGUGCCUAGCAACUUGUUUUUUUGCGUGGCUCCCUCCCUCUUCCUUCCUCCCUUCCAUCUGCCACCCUUCCUUCUUUCCAUCGUUCCUUCUAUCCCUCCCUCCUUCCUUCCUUUAUUUAACUAUUACAAGUGAAAGCACAGUCUCUCAGCCAUUCUUUUCUCCAGUAAUGAAUGCUUUCACUCACGGACAUCAUCACCCUCCCUGUCAGCAGGGCACUUUCU
rnacentral:lncRNA from 1 species